AGCUCCAAUAGCGUAUAUUAAAGUUGUUGCAGUUAAAAAGCUCGUAGUUGAACUUCUGGCUAUUCUUCCAGCUGGCUUCGGUCGCUGUAAGAGUGGUCAUCCGCUUGGGAACUACGUUCGAACUUCACUGUUCGGCGUAAGGAACAGGCAUUUUACUUAGAAAAAAUUAGAGUGUUCAAGGCAGGCUAUCGCCCUGAAUACACAAGCUUGGAAUAAUGAAAUAGGACUAUUUCCAUUUUAUUGGUUAUUGGAAUUAGUAAUGAUUAAUAGGGACAGUUGGGGACAUUAGUAUUUAAUUGUCAGAGGUGAAAUUCUUGGAUUUAUUAAAGACUAACUUAUGCGAAAGCAUUUGUCAAGGAUGUUUUCAUUA
rnacentral:rRNA from 1 species